CAUGUAACGCCAUUGGGGUAGGAGCCCGGAACUAUUCUCCGAAAGUCAGUGUGACUUCAGUGACAACUCCCUUGGGUAUUCACCACAUGCAAGGAUACGGCAUCAGUGCCUGGAGGACCUGUUUGAGAACCACUAUCCUGGAUCUGCACUGGAACUCACUACUACUGCCAUGUACUGCACUUAGAAAUUAGUAAUAUAAGGCUGUUUAGACAUAAGGACAAAUACAUGGUGUAUUGUUUAUAGUUGAGGAAUGAUUGGCUUUCCUGCCAGUGACCUAUUUCUCAAGAAUGCUAUCUCAAUAAAAGGUGUUUGCCAUCAAAUAUUA